rnacentral:miRNA from 1 species
CCCCAAUUCACUGGUCCCCUUAUUUAAUUAGAUACGUGGAUCAGUGAUAAUUGAGGG